AUGGAGAGCUCGAAGGUGAACACCUGGAACAGGUGAGACACAGAAUGAACACCUGGAACAGCUGGAAGGUGAACACCUGGAACAGGUGAGAGGACACCAUGAACACCUGGACAGGUGAGACAGAGACUGUGAACACCUGGAACAGCUGGAAGGUGAACACCUGGACAGGUGAGAGAGACUGUGAACACCUGGAACAGCUGGAAGGUGAACACCUGGAACAGGUGAGACAGAGACUGUGAACACCUGGAACAGCUCAAAGGUGAACACCUGGAACAGGUGAGACACAGAAUGAACACCUGGAACAGCUGGAAGGUGAACACCUGGACAGGUGAGACAGGGAAUGAACACCUGGA